UUUACGACGCCGUGAUUCGAGCUCACAUCCGCUGCCGUUAGAUUUCUAUUCAACCGUGUUUUACUGCCCUAUGGUGGAGGAUAACCCCGGGAAACUGGGGAUAAUACUCCAUAAGUCAGGAGUACUGGAAUGUCUCCUAACUGAAAGUUGCGGCGCCAUAGGAUGAAUCUGCGGCCGAUUAGGUAGUUGUUGGGGUAACGGCCCAACAAUUCCGUAAUCGGUACGGGUUGUGGGAGCAAGAGCCCGGAGAUGGAAUCUGAGACACGAUUCCAGGCUUUUACGGCAGCGCAUUAGGCGCGAAAACUUUACAAUGCAGGAAACUCUCUUUUUGGGAACCCCGAGUGCCCGUACACGCGGGCUGUCCCGGUGUUUAAAACACAUCGGAAGAAAGGGCCGGGCAAGACCGGUUCCUUUUCGUCCGCGGUAAUACCGGCGGCUCGAGUGGUGACCACUUUUAUUGGGCUUAAAGCGUUCGUAGCUUGAUUUUUAAGUCUCUUGGGAAAUCUCACGGCUUAACUGUGAGGCGUCUAAGAGAUACUGGGAAUCUAGGGACCGGGAGAGGUAAGAGGUACUUCAGGGUAGAGUGAAAUUCUGUAAUCCUUGGAGGGACCACCGAUGGCGAGGCAUCUACAGACGGCUUCGACAGUGGAAGGACGAGCUGGGGAGCGACGGAAUAGAUACCGGUAGUCCAGCCGGUUAACUAUGUCGCGUUAGGUGUGCCUG
rnacentral:rRNA from 1 species